GCUUGUCUCAAAGAUUAAGCCAUGCACGUCUAAGUAUAAGCGAUUAUACUGUGAAACUGCGAAUGGCUCAUUAUAUCAGUUAUAGUUUAUUUGAUGGUCCUUGCUACUUGGAUAACCGUAGUAAUUCUAGAGCUAAUACAUGCAUAAAUCCCCGACUGCUUGGAAGGGGUGUAUUUAUUAGAUGGAAACCAAUGCGGGGCAACCCGGAAUUCGGUGAUUCAUAAUAACUUUCGGACCGGUUUACCGGUACAUCAUUCAAGUUUCUGCCCUAUCAGCUUUGGAUGGUAGGGUAUUGGCCUACCAUGGCUUUAACGGGUAACGGAGAAUUAGGGUUCGAUUCCGGAGAGGGAGCCUGAGAAAUGGCUACCACAUCCAAGGAAGGCAGCAGG
rnacentral:rRNA from 1 species